rnacentral:lncRNA from 1 species
GCCGAAUCUAACUGUGUAUGUAGAUUCUUAAUUUUUUGUCCCGUUUUCAAAUUGGUCUACAUUAAGGUCCAAAGGGUCCAAAAUUAAACUUAGUUUGAUUUUAACAAAAAUUGAAUCCUUGGGGUUCUUUGAUAUGCUGAAUCUUAAAAUGUACUUAGAUUUUUUAUUAUUGGCCCAGUUUUCAAGUUGGUCCAAAUCUGG